CAGUAGCCGCGGGAAUACGAAGGGGGCUAGCGUUGUUCGGAAUUACUGGGCGUAAAGGGCGCGUAGGCGGCCAUUAAAGUCAGGCGUGAAAUUCCUGGGCUCAACCUGGGGGCUGCGCUUGAUACUUGGUUGCUUGAGUGGGGAAGAGGGUCGUGGAAUUCCCAGUGUAGAGGUGAAAUUCGUAGAUAUUGGGAAGAACACCGGUGGCGAAGGCGGCGACCUGGUCCUUGACUGACGCUGAGGCGCGAAAGCGUGGGGAGCAAACAGGAUUAGAGACCCCCGUAGUCCCUGUCUCUUAUAC
rnacentral:rRNA from 1 species